UCCUGCAAAAACAGACACCUGUGUGGGAGGUAGUGGCACCGCUUUACCCACAUAUGCAGCCUGACCCAAUGGCCUGUGCUCUAGACCACCCACUCUCAGUCCAUGGCAGGACUCGGUUUGUGCUUUCCUGGCAUCCUGUCAAAGCUGCCCUGCUUGUGGCCAAAGGACCUUCAUCUGGACAAGAUCUGGCCCAGUGUCUAUGGGAAGCUCCUGCGUGGCUCCUCCUCUGAUUUAUAAGCGUCAGCCUAGGUAGGCUGGAAAUGUUCAGUUUCCCACAGGGUACUCUGUGGGGGUGCCGAGAGGGGUGGCCUCUCAUCAAAGACCGAAACACAAGUUAAGAGUACUGCCUCUGCCUGGUGAAGUGUAAGACCAUCUAUCUUCCAGUCACCUCAGGCUGGCUAGGUGGCUGAAGACUCCAGCCCAGCUCAUUCACACCUUGGCUGGUCUCCCAAGGGACUGUUACCAUCACCACUCACAGUUCUAGUCACUGAAGCUCUUUCCGUUGGCCCCCGCGUCCCUUUGGCACAGCUCCAUCACUAUGUGGGUGUGUAUGGGUAUUUCCAUUAUUGGUUGUUCCUGGAGUGGGACUGUUAAUAAACCAAGCCCACGAGGUCUCUGUGUUUACCAGGCUGGCCUUAUGUUCAACUGAAACUGAGUUUAAUGCUGAAACCCACAGGGUAGAAAGAGAGAACCAGUUCCCACAAGUUGUCCUCUUUACUUUCACACAUGUACAUGCAUGCACAAACACAUAAACAUACAGAAAUAAAUUAAUGUAAUUUUAAAAUUAAAACAGAAAUUUCAAGCAUCUUUUCAUGUGAGUAUCCCUUUUUUCUCCUUUUCUGUCCCCCACUUAUCCCUCCCUCUCCUUUCCUCCCUUCUUCCCUUUCUCCCUCCCUUCUUCCCUCCCUCCCUCCCUCCCUCCCUCCCUCUCUCUCUCUCUCUCUCUCUCUCUCUCUCUCUCUCUCUUUCUUUCUUUCUUUUUCAAGAUAGAGUUUUUCUGUGCAGCCCUGGCUGUCCUGGAACUCACUCUCUAGACCAGGCUGGCUUGAACUCCCAGAGAUCUGUUUGCCUCUGUCUCCUGAGUACUGGCAUAAUAGGUGUAUACCACCAACACCAGCUGAGUAUCCCUUUUUCUGUUACUAAGCUCUCCCUAGAUGCUAUACUUUCUUGGUAGACAGGUGUUCUCCUGCCUGCACCGGAGCUCUGCUCACCUGGCCUGCACCUGAGCAUUGCUCACCUGGCCUGCACCAGAGCUCUGCUCACCUGGCCUGCACCUGAGCAUUGCUCACCUGGCCUGCACCAGAGCUCUGCUCACCUGGCCUGCACCUGAGCAUUGCUCACCUGGCCUGCACCUGAGCAUUGCUCACCUGGCCUGCACCAGAGCUCUGCUCACCUGGCCUGCACCUGAGCUCUGCUCACCUGGCCUGCACCUGAGCUCUGCUCACCUGGCCUGCACCUGAGCAUUGCUCACCUGGCCUGCAGGUUCUCGAUCUCGAUGCUCUUCUCCCGCUCCAUCUUGCACAGGAGCUCCUUCUGCUUCCUGGUUUCUUCUAGAACCUUCUCUUGGGCUCUGAACUCCUGCUCCUUCAGCUGC